CGCUGGAAAACCACUCUGAGGAGA
rnacentral:piRNA from 1 species